rnacentral:rRNA from 1 species
AAGCAGGGCCAGCCAUACGGACGGCGCUACUCGCGUACAACGUCUCUGGCGCCCAACUUUACACAAUAUCCACAAACCCGUGUGCACCGUUUGGAUGAGUUGGACCUCGCAAGAGGCUCGGCUCUCCAAUCCAUUUCUACCAAACUCGUAUGGUUGUAUGAACGUGGAAAUCGUUGGACCGUAACUGGCCAACAACCAAUAAUACAACUUUCGACAACGGAUCUCUUGGUUCUCCCAUCGAUGAAGAACGCAGCGAAACGCGAUAGGUAAUGUGAAUUGCAGAAUUCCGUGAAUCAUCGAAUCUUUGAACGCACCUUGCGCUCCAUGGUAUUCCGUGGAGCAUGCCUGUUUGAGUGCCGUGAAUUCUCUCUCCCCAAGCGGUUGCGAUUGCACUGCUUUGGCGGACGAGGUUGGAUGGGUGCUUCUGCCUGUUUCGCAAGAAACAGGCUCGCCCGAAAUGCAUUAGCGCCUUUGGGACACACUCUGCAAACCGCUCUGAAAGGGAGGGCGGCAGAGGGGAUGGAGGAACUCCGCCCGUCAGCUAUACCAAACUUUGCCCCAGGCAAGCGCAUGGCAUGAUACGUCAUUUGCUGUGUGUGCGUCCUGAGGCAAGGGGCCGAUGUGGUGCCUUUGUCACUCUGUGGGUGUGUUGGUGCGCUACCAAUCCUGCGUGGAGGCUGGUCUGUGCGCAAGCAUGGAGCAGUUCUUGUGAACGCAUUCCCUUUUUCAUUUCUGGUCUCAAAUCAGGUAGGAUCACCCGCUGAACUUAAGCAUAUCAU